CACUCCGGCGGCCGCUGUGGUAUCGAUGACGACGGUGCUUUAUCUACUUUAGGGUGUUUAACCAACUGUCCAAAGCUUCCAUUACCAUUCCUCCAACUUCACGUCUUCGGUGUUUAUCUCCAGUCCCAGAUCCCAAAAUCUGAGUGUUUGCCUGCCAUUCAUUUUUCAUACCCACGGGACACCAUCACUUCCACCCUUGAACCCACCGCUGCUUCGCAAGCCAAAAAUCCAACAUUACCACUACAGUUAAGGGUUUUUUCCACUUAAUUUGGUAAUUUAAUGCAAGCUCUGGAGUGCGUUGCUGAUGUUAAAAAGGUAUAAUUUCUGUUUUUUAAUAUUAAUGUUUAUUUUAUAAGUUGGUGAAGUGGGUUUUGUAUGGUAACCAUGUUGUUUGUUUGGGACGGGCAUUUUUUAGUUUUUCGUCUUCCAUAUCAAAUGGAUAUGGUGGCAUUCUUUGGAUGCAAAGGUCAACUGCUUUUGGUUUUUGUUACAGUUAGUUGUAAAAAAUCGUGCUUACCCAAUCUAUGUUUAGGUUACUGAUAUUGCACUUUUGUGUUCUAUUGUUAUAAUCUGAUGUGGAACACUUUAAGGAGAAUGUGUAACAUGAAAAUUUAGGCAAUUGGAAACGUUGGUUCCUGGCCUAAUCCACUUAUUCAUAAACCUGGUGUAUGGAUUUUGCCUCCAAAAAGGUGAAAUCUUAAUUACAAAUGUACAUACUUUUUGGUGUCUUUAAAAAUCUUUAUUUUCAGUAUUUAUUUCGAUUGAUCUCAUAUGCAUCUCUCUCCAAAGGUAUGAGGAAAUCAAAGCUUACCACAUGCAGCAUUACUAAUAAAGUGAUAAAGGAAUUUGGUACAUAUUUCUAUCUUUUUUACACUUCAAUUUGAUAAAUGUUUUUUAGAUUUCUUAUUUAUACUUAUGGAACUCCUCACUACUACUGAUAACUUUGAGGGGGCUUCAUCUAUGAGAUAUCGCAGUCAUUCCUUGAUAAAUCUGGAUAUGACGCCCGGAUGCUAUACAGUUUUGAUCUACAUACAUCAAACUGUCUACUACUCUAAUGUGCAUCUCUUUAUUUUUGUUAUAUUGUGUGGUUAUACUUACGCCCAAAGAAAGGGAAUUAAUGUCCUUGCUGACAUUGAUGUUCCUGCCCAUGCUCGAGCUCAUAAUCCUUAUAUAUAAAAUCGGACUGUCUACUACUCUAAUGUGCAUGUCUUUAGGAUUAUUUUCCUAAGCUACCAUCUGACGCAUACUACUCUGACCUGCAAUACGAGUCACCAUCUUUCUCUUAAGAACCAUUAAAGGGCACUGCUUUUGAACUUUGCUUUGAGCCUCCAAAACGUUUGAGCCGGCAUAAAUAAUUUAUGUUAUUGGAAGUUUUUGAAGAAAAAUCAAAGUGGAAUAAGGGAAAAUAGUAAGAAUAUUGAUGAAGAAAGUAGAGGGUGAUGAUGAGGAAGAGAGGUCUUCGUGGCUUGAUUUGACCAAACUUUUCUUCUCUUUUUCUUACAUCAGCCUGUUAUGAACGACACUAGCGUGGCCCAGCCCAUUAACCAACAACAACCCAGACGUGGUACUCGCCCCAUUCAGGUACCCAACCAUUUGAAAGAUUAUGUGGGUCCGUCCACCUCAGCAAGAAAGAAUUAGGCCAGGGAAGCAUGAUGAAUGCAUGUAUAAGGAGUGUAUGAGAGAGAGAGUCAGUUAUGCUAGUAUUUGUUAAGUUGUGAGUCUCUUCUUCCCACCCCAUUCUCUCUGUAAUUUCUCUCCUCAUCUUAUCUUGUACUCCAUUUCAGUUUGAAUAAAAUUCCCUGGUUUCCCUUAUAAUUUCCCAUUUCCAUUAAGUUUGCACUUCAUUAAGUUAAAAACUUUUCUUCUCUUUUUCUUACAUCAGCCACUAUUUCCAUUUCCCUAUAUAUUUUUUGGUUGAAGCCUUAAAAGGAUUGAGAAGCCCAAGUUUUUUUUAAAUAACUAUUAAAUUGUGCCACUUGAACAUUUUUAUCAAUUUUUGGGAGCUAUGAAAAAAAGCACUUCAGCAAGUGCAAUGAAGAAUGUACUUUUAAAGCUUUCAUAUGUUUACCAGUGUGUCAAUUGUGAUUACUUUCAUCUUCAGCCGAUUGGAAGCACCCUUUCUAAGGUAGGUUGGACUUCUAUUCUUCUUUCUUAACAAGCCUAGGGCUGAGUUAACAUACCUACUACAGGUAUGUUGCUUAACUACUUCAGUGAUUGCAAUUUUAAUUCAGGGAAUUUGUUGUCAUAACUCUCUUUUGUGAAUUAUGUGAACCUGAAAGCAAUGAUUCAUGUUUAUAACAAAAUAGGCAAGUAUAUUUGUAAUUUGGCAGUUUUUUGUCUUCAUAGUGAAGUUCAGGGUUAAUGAGGUGUUAUGAGCCAUUAUUGGAAGGUUAUAAGUUGUAACAACCAGUGUUUAGGCUAAUUAAUGAAAUAUUUAGUUGUGCAUGAGCGAUGGAUCCACUUGAGAAAACGGACACGCCAUAUGCUUGUCGGUACUAUGGUGUGUGUGGAAAGCACGUAACGAAUUAGUAUUCCACCAGAUUAGAUGGUCAGUUCAGAAAAUUGCGGGUGAAAUUAAGGCCCUCAGUUUUCUAUGGGUAAAGGCGAGGUCAAAGCAAGAGGGGCUCGACUGGGAAAUUUGGCGCGGGUUUUAUGUUCGCAGAGUAGGAUGGUAAUUUCUUUGUUUGUUUUGGUUUUGGGUUUUGCUGUGUUAUUGGUGGCUGUAGGAUUGAUCUGUUUGUUUUGGCUUUGGUUUUUUGUUGUAUUGUUAGUGGUUGCAUGCAAGAUUGAUCUGGGGAACCUUUUGUAAAUAUUUGGUUAGUAACAUUCUAACCAGUUGUGAAUAAAAAAUUUUGUUGGCCUUCCAAAAAAAAGUAUAUUAGUGAUAAUGACCAAUUAUACAUAUUAAGUAAAAUUAACUAAGCGUGUUGGUAAGUUUGUGUCUGGCUCGGGAUUUCAAUUCCAUCCAAGGUUCAAAUCUAUGGGUCAGAUGUUGCAGCAUAGCCUCAAUCAAAAUAUGUUGAUCAAGAAAAAAGAGAUGAUUUACACCGCUUUUCUUUAUGACUACUUGGAGAAUCUGGAUUCGAAGGAACAAAAAAGUCUUUAAAUCCAGAAAUGUCUCGGGCCACUGGUGUUGUAGAUGAGAUAAAAGAGGACAGUUACUCGUGGAUGGCGAAAAGAUACAAGUGUGCAACCUUAAGCCUAUAAGAUUGGAGCAAGUUUGAGAGAAUCGCCUGUUGACUCUGUCGGUUUUGGGCCCCUUUGGGUUUUGUACUCUACAUGCAUUAAAUGCUUCCUAAGUCUUUAUGUUUGUUUUCUUCUUUGAGUGAAUAAAAGCUUGCUUUGGUUGGUAAAAAAGAAACUAAUUGCGUUGGUUUUGUAACUUCAUUUGAUACGUUAAGCACCCGUGGGGUAGAACCGAUUAUUUUUUUUAGGAUAUGAUCUAACAUGAUUAAGUUGAAUUGUU